rnacentral:tRNA from 1 species
AAUCUUAUAUUUUAUUUUAAAAUAUUAAAUUGCAAAUUUAAAGAAGAUUAAUUUCUAAGAUUU